AUGAACGCUGGCGGCGUGCCUAAUCCAUGCCAGUCGAGCGAACAGACGAGGAGCUUGCUCCUCUAACGUUAGCGGCGGACGGGUGAGUAACACGUGGAUAACCUACCUAUAAGACUGGGAUAACUUCGGGAAACCGGAGCUAAUACCGGAUAAUAUAUUGAACCGCAUGGUUCAAUAGUGAAAGACGGUUUUGCUGUCACUUAUAGAUGGAUCCGCGCCGCAUUAGCUAGUUGGUAAGGUAACAGCUUACCAAGGCAACGAUGCGUAGCCGACCUGAGAGGGUGAUCGGCCACACUGGAACUGAGACACGGUCCAGACUCCUACGGGAGGCAGCAGUAGGGAAUCUUCCGCAAUGGGCGAAAGCCUGACGGAGCAACGCCGCGUGAGUGAUGAAGGUCUUCGGAUCGUAAAACUCUGUUAUUAGGGAAGAACAAAUGUGUAAGUAACUAUGCACGUCUUGACGGUACCUAAUCAGAAAGCCACGGCUAACUACGUG
rnacentral:rRNA from 1 species